UCAGGCCUAACACAUGCAAGUCGUACGGGAAUUUUUAAUUCAAGUGGCGGACGGGUGAGUAACACGUAAGAAUUUGCCUUUAGGAGGGGGACAACAACUGGAAACGGUUGCUAAUACCCCAUAUGCUUUCGAGUGAAAUGGAUUUUUCCGCCUAAAGAGAAGCUUGCGGCUGAUUAGCUUGUUGGUGAGGUAAUGGCUCACCAAGGCGACGAUCAGUAUCUGGUUUGAGAGGGAGAUCAGACACACUGGAACUGAGACACGGUCCAGACUCCUACGGGAGGCAGCAGUGGGGAAUUUUCUGCAAAGGGCGAAAGCCUGACGGAGCAAUCUCGCGUGAGGUAUGAAGGGCCUAUGGGUUGUAAACCUCUUUUUCAGGGAGGAACAAAAUGAC
rnacentral:rRNA from 1 species